UCUGUAGCUUAGUGGGUAGAGCGUCAGAUUGUGGCUCUGAAGGUCGCAGGUUCGAAUCCUGUCAUU
rnacentral:tRNA from 1 species